UCCGGGCACCCUUUUGUCUUUUUGUGUGUGUUCAUCACCCUUAUUCCCGACUUAGGGAUAUUGUUGGCAUGACAACUAUUAGGCUCGAGUAUUAGUCUCCCUAUUAGUUUGUUAUCUCCUUUCCCCUGUUAAGGGGAACUACGUCGCCUUGAUUCUCAUACCAGAUGAGAUACGUAGGCAGGAGGUUGCGAGCAAUCUCUCCGGGCACCCUUUUUCUUUUUCACCCUUUUGUUUUUUUUUUUGUGUGGUCACCCUUUUGUUUUGUGUGUGUGUGUGUUC
rnacentral:lncRNA from 1 species